CGGACGGGUGAGUAACGCGUGAGAAUUUGCCUUUAGGAGGGGGACAACAACUGGAAACGGUUGCUAAUACCCCAUAUGCUUUCGAGUGAAAUGGAUUUUUCCGCCUAAAGAGAAGCUUGCGGCUGAUUAGCUUGUUGGUGAGGUAAUGGCUCACCAAGGCGACGAUCAGUAUCUGGUUUGAGAGGACGAUCAGACACACUGGAACUGAGACACGGUCCAGACUCCUACGGGAGGCAGCAGUGGGGAAUUUUCCGCAAUGGGCGAAAGCCUGACGGAGCAAUACCGCGUGAGGGAUGACGGCCUAUGGGUUGUAAACCCCUUUUUUCAGGGAGGAAUCAAAUGACGUGUACCUGAAGAAUAAGCAUCGGCUAACUCCGUGCCAGCAGCCGCGGUAAGACGGAGGAUGCAAGUGUUAUCCGGAAUCACUGGGCGUAAAGCGUCUGUAGGUGGUCCAAUAAGUCAACUGUUAAAUCUUGAGGCUCAACCUCAAAAUCGCAGUCGAAACUAUUAGACUAGAGUAUAGUAGGGGUAAAGGGAAUUUCCAGUGGAGCGGUGAAAUGCGUAGAGAUUGGAAAGAACACCGAUGGCGAAGGCACUUUACUGGGCUAUUACUAACACUCAGAGACGAAAGCUAGGGUAGCAAAUGGGAUUAGAUACCCCAGUAGUC
rnacentral:rRNA from 1 species